AAGAAAUCCUCCUAAUCUGUGACGUAUUUCACUGUUCCAAAGAUUUCAGCAAAACACUCUUAUUUGGCAAGAAACUGGAAAGCACAGAAAUAUAUAUUUUAAGUUCAGUGCUUAACCUUUUCUCUGUUGUCUUGAAGAAUUUACUACCCAUCUGCAGAGCUGCAGCUUCUAAUCACUGUAAUGAACGUGUUUGGCUUUACUAACUGUUAAUGCCAUUUAGUUUUCAUUUUUCUCACUGAAGCAGUAAUAUUUUCUGCUCUCUGAAUGGGAGACUGUUAUUUUUCCUUCCAGGCCAUGCUACUAAUGUUAUUCAUUUUGCAGAUGCAUACGUUUGAAUUUUCUACGUAGUGAAAAAGGGAGGACUUGACACAAGUGUAAAUGGAGCACAGCACAAGAAAAGAUGCUGCCCAUAGGGAGGUGAGAGGGAUGGGGACAAAGAAAGUGAGAGAAUGGUUUGUCGGAGGAUGUCUCUGUUCUGUCUGAAUGAGUAACUGUAGCACUAUAAUGGAAUAGCAGGGAGAACAAGGGUUACUGCUAAAGAAUAGCUUAAGUUUCCUGAAAAUUAACAGCUGAGGUAGAGCUUGACUGCAAAUAGUCAUUGGCUGCGAUUUUCAGAUACAAGGAUACACAGAAUGCAUAUCUACUAAACAGAAAUUAUUUUUACUUUAUUAUUAUUGUUUUUUUUUUUUUACUUUAGUAAACUACUUAAAACAAGGGAGAAUUGUAAGUGACUGUCAGGUCUCACCACUGUCUGCUUUCCAGGUCAUUUUCCUUUCUUCUAGGAGCUAAAUUAGUGAGGAACAUAUGCAGAUGUUUGUUUGUGAAGCUCACUGGGAUUUAGCACCUUACAGGUUAAUAAGGAGAAAAAAACAGAUGUGAAAUUGCAAUAUAGAAAUGUCCAUUCAAUCUAGAUGGUAGUGCAGCUCUUGCAGUGUGGUGGAGCUUUAAGGAAGGCUGAUGGAUGACUGCUUCUUUUCGAAGCAACGAGAUUAGAAAUGGCUGCUCUACUUCUGUCUGAUGUAAGAGCACAGGCCCAGGAUGACUGCUCAGGAUCUUCUUGCAGGAGUGUGACCCCUGUAUGACUUGAGACAAAUUGUGACAGUUCAUGGAUUGCUGCAUUUCCCCUCAUGUAUCAUUCAUGAUGUCAGCUCCCCUUUUAUCCUUCCGCUCUGUUCACUUAGCAUCAUGGCUGCGGGAAGCAAUCUCAACUGAAGUACCACUGAGCACCUUCAGAGAGAUAAUGCCUUUCUUAUUCUUCCAAGAAGAGUCUGAAGUGUCCUUGGGAGUGGCAUCGUUCACAGGUGGAAGUAUUUGUGAAGAUUUUGAAGUCAAGGAUUCAAAGUCAUGUGGAUGGAGCACACCAAGUGCCUGGGGUUUUAUUGCUUCGUGGCUUCGGGAUUGUUCACAGCUCCUCAGUUCUACUUUUAUUGACAGGCUCUUCUUUUCACCUUGCUGUGUUUGAACAGAGUGUACCUUUUUGUUACAUAUCACUGUUUUAACACCAUAUGUUGUAGAACAGCAAUUAGACUCGCUGGAAUGCAUCGACAUCCCUUCCUGAAGUGGUAUCAGUGAUGAUGGCAUCUACACUUAACUUGUUUUCUGGUUUCGACUGAUAUCUUGUGGUCUUGGCUUCUUGACCUGCACUUCUGUCAAUAGGUGGCAACGUGUCUAAGCAGAACAGACACUUGGAAGCUUUGUUUGCCUUAAAGUGCUUGACUUGUUUUUGCAGCUGAAAGCAGGCAAGUGGAUCAGUUCUAUCCCAGCCGUGCACCUGGUCAUAAAGAAAUGAUAAAUCUAAGGCAGCCCAGAGCACUGCAAGGAGAAAAAUGUAGAGGAAAUAGUGUUUGCUGAUGUAAAUAAGCUGCCACUUUGUGCUGGAAACAAGCAGUUAGGUUGGAUAUUAGGAAAAAUUCUUCUCCAAAAGAUUGGUCAGUGGUGGGGUCACCAUCCCUGGAGGAGUUCAAGAAGGGUUUAAGUGUGGUACUGAAGGACAUGGCUUAGUGGGAAACAUCGGUGGCAGGUAAAUGGUUGGACUGGGUCAUCUUGGAGGUCUUUUCAACCUCGGCGAUUCUGUGGUUCUGUGAAUCCUUUUCAAAAGAACACAACUAUUUCUAUGAGAAAAAAAAAAUACUAUAAACGGAAUGGUCCUUUUCACUUCCAAAGAACAAGUUAGGUCUCUUCUUUUUUAUUUUUAUUUAUUUAUUGAUUGCUUUUCCACUGCAGUCUUAACUGCGGCUUUUUUUAGUCCCCACACUUUCCCAAAGCCUUAAAGCCAAUCACAGAGUCUGGAGAGGUGGUUAAUGCUUACCUAAUAAAAUUGCAUUGAGCUCCAUCAGGGCACACAGAAGGCAGACUCACAAGGUCACGAACUGAAGUAAACUCUUACAACUCCAUUUUCUUGUUAUUAUCGUAGGUUUCUUUGGAUCCCGAUAUUUAAAGUAAAAUAUGUAUAUUCAAAUCCAAACCCCCCAACCGCAGAGUAACCCUUCUCUGUCACCUCUCUGUUCAUCAGAACAUGCAGUCCUUUGGAAAUCAUUCACUUACCCCUCAGAUCAAACAUCCUGGAUAAACUCUUGUGCAUCAUACAGCUUACGUCUUCGUAGAUAAAGAGCACACGUCCUGGUUAGAUGAGGAUAAUAAUUGGUAUAAAGGAUCGAUAUCUUUAUUGAUUCUUUAAUACAAUACUUAACACUUUUUAGAUGCAGCACCGGCAUAUGCCUUAAAUCUGAUCUGGCAUUUCUCUGAGAUUUCAGAUGUUUUCACAGGGAAAAUUCAUUAUGCCUGCCAAAGCAGUGUAGGGAGGUAUUUGUAAGUAUCCACAUACAGAACAAAUGCAUCACACAAGGCUUACACACUGUCGAAGCAAUUAUCAGUGUCAGAUUCACGUAGUCACGUGUGAUUGUUAAAGUCCUGGGUGAUGCUGUAGCAUAACACCCACAGAGCUCAUCAGCAUCAGAAGAGCUGCACAGAUGUGAAUGAGAGCAGAAGCUGACCAUUUUGAAUGCAUGCACUGAGUCACCGCAUCACCUCAAAAGCUGAUGUAAUCAUAAUGCACUUCGCCUUUACAUCCAUUUUCUCUCUCCACAGUUCUCAUUACUAUAAAUAACCCUGUUUUGGAAAGUUGAAGCAGAAAUAUGACAAUGGCCACUUUGGAUAAGCCCCAGCACAGACACUCCUCUCCCUGUUAGUGGUUCCGUCAUAGUUCUGCUUAAUGCUCCCCUGCACCAGCAUCUUUCUCCUAGGUUACCUGAAGUUGGGACAACAGCUAAAUGCAGCACUGCCCUCCGUGAUUUGGAUCAGUUCUGCCUUUUUCUCUCUGAAUUAAAUGAUAAUAAAACAGAGGACUGAAUGCAGUUGGGCUGGGAGCUCUCAGGCAUCGAGCUGACUUGAAAUGCAGUCUGGCACUGUGGAAGUGUCAGGGCUGGGCAGUACCACGCAGCAGAGCAGAGGCUGCCUUUGGCUGCUUGCAUCAGCUGGAAGGUCUGCAGAAAGCGAGUAGGACAGCGUUACUGGGAGAACAUUUCUUUCUAUGAAAAAGAUGUGCAAAAGGAUUCCAGCAGUGCCUGACUGAUUGCCAUUUCCUAUGUCCAACUGUAAUGUAAAACCUUUUGCUUUUCUCACACUGUAACAGAGCCGCACUGUGUAGCUCCAGCAUUUACAUGACAACUG
ensembl:lncRNA